rnacentral:rRNA from 1 species
UACGGAGGGGGCUAGCGUUGUUCGGAAUUACUGGGCGUAAAGCGCACGUAGGCGGCUUUGUAAGUUAGAGGUGAAAGCCCGGGGCUCAACUCCAGAAUUGCCUUUAAGACUGCAUCGCUAGAAUUGUGGAGAGGUAAGUGGAAUUCCGAGUGUAGAGGUGAAAUUCGUAGAUAUUCGGAAGAACACCAGUGGCGAAGGCGACUUACUGGACACAUAUUGACGCUGAGGUGCGAAAGCGUGGGGAGCAAACAGG